rnacentral:lncRNA from 1 species
UCCAUUCACAACUCAAGCUUCCGAAAUCGUAGUAGCGCUUACACAGCUGCAGUUUCUAGAGCCCUCCCUGCCUUUCGAGCUCGCCACCAUGCCUGCCCUCGCCAAGCCCGCCUCCCGCCCCGCCAAGACGGCCGCCGCGCCGAAGCCGAAGCCCGCCGCCGCCAAGCCCAAGGCCGCCGCAGCCGGCGCCUCCCACCCGCCCUACUUUGAGGUGAGCUUUGUGCCCUUGUCGAUUCGCGUCUGGUUUCGUCUCUGAUUUGGAUUGCGUUCGAACUUGGGGGCUGAUCGAGAUUCUUUGUUUGUUCCGUGCAGAUGAUCAAGGAGGCGAUCACGGCGCUCAAGGAGAGGACCGGCUCGAGCUCCCACGCCAUCGCCAAGUACAUGGAGGACAAGCACGGCGCGUCGCUGCCGGCCAACUACAAGAAGAUGCUCUCCAUCCAGCUCCGCGGAUUCGCCGCCAAGGGCAAGCUCGUCAAGGUCAAGGCCUCCUACAAGCUCUCUGACGCUGCCAAGAAGGACUCCCCCAAGGCCAAGCCCGCCGCCGCCAAAACCGCCGCGGCCAAGCCGGUCAAGGCCACCGCCAAGCCCAAGAAGACCGCCGCAGCCGCCACCAAGCCCAAGAAGACCGCCGCCGCCGGGACCAAGCGCAAGACGCCGGAGAAGAAGAAGAUUGUUGCGAAGCCGAAGAAGUCCCCCGCGGCGAAGGCCAAGGCCAAGCCCAAGACCGUCAAGUCCCCCGCCUCCAAGAAGGCCCGGAAGGUCGCCGCAUGAGUCUGUUCCAUAGGUCGUAGCUCUGAUUGUGGUGGUUGUGCCUAGGAGUUGUACAAACGA